AAAGUUAUUAGCACUAUAGAGUGCAUGAACAUGAAAACAAUAUAAGAUACAUAUCCUGCACAUGAAAUACCCACCAGACCAACCAGGUAUUUGGACACCAGAUAUAUAUAAAUCAGAUUAAACUACACUAACAUGAAAUACCCGCCACAACAUCCAGGUAUUUGCAUACCAGAUAUAUAUAAAUCAGAUUAAACUGCACUGACAUGAAAUACCCGCCAGACCAACCAGGUAUUUGGAUACCAGAUAUAUAUAAAUCAGAUUAAACUGCACUGACAUGAAAUACCCGCCAGACCAACCAGGUAUUUGGAUACCAGAUAUAUAUAAAUCAGAUUAAACUGCACUGACAUGAAAUACCCGCCAGACCAUCCAGGUAUUUGGAUACCAGAUAUAUAUAAAUCAGAUUAAACUGCACUGACAUGAAAUACCCGCCAGACCAACCAGGUAUUUGGACACCAGAUAUAUAUAAAUCAGAUUAAACUAAACUAACAUGA